UGUGCCCUGACAGGGAAUCCAACCAUGACCUCCUGGUUCAUAGGUUGAUGCUCAACCACUGAUUUACCCUGGCCAGGCUGUCACACUAUAUAUUGAAUAAUAUUUUAAAAAUUGUAUUCCAUAGGUAGUUUGGUUAUGAAAGAAGUCAUUGUACUUUUACUGUUCAUCUUAGGAUUCUAUACAUUCUACAUUGGAAAAACUGGGCUAUAAGUUUGAGUCUUUUGAUAAUGCACUCUAAAAAUCUAGUUUAUUUAGUUAUUUACCUGCUGAAAUUAGUACAAAAAUUAUAUCUGAAAGCAUCCUUUAAGAAUAAUUUUCCCCCAGCAAAACUAUAUAUAGCCUCAUUAAUAUUCUUCCUCUUUGCAGGAACAAAUCCAGACAAAAGAAUUUCACUAAUAUGAAGAGUAAUGGGAAGCCCAUGAACUGGAGAGACGAUCUGCUACUUAAAAAUGAGGGCUUUUUGCUUUCCUGGAAGGAACAUAGCAUCUCUGGGCGGUGCUGGGAUAUAAAACAAACAGAGAUGCCUUUUCUCUACAUGCUGGAAGCAGGCAUUCCUGUUGCCACGGAAACAUCCUGAGGCAGCAAGGGUCACCUUUGGAAACAAUUGAAAGACUUCAAAAGCAGAUCAAUAGAGACAUGCGGAGACCUGAACUUCCCAGCUAAUGUUGUUUCCUAUUUUAAAUGUCAUUUUUCAACAAACACUUGCUUAUGUGAAUACCAUGUACUGGGAAGUAGGAAGGCAAAAUUGAAAUGAUAAUAACUCUAGUCCAUACUGUCAAGCUCUGCUUUUAGAAGCCUGUGGUUUUUGGUAGAAAUGCUUUGAGAGGGAAAUGAGCAGGAAUAGCAGUCUGGAUGAUGGAAUGACAUUCAGGUUUAAAAGAAAAGCUGCAUUUAAGACUUCAUUUGCAGAAAAGUUUUCAAAAUAUACAGAUUCUUUACUCAUACAAA